UAGGGAAUCUUCCACAAUGGACGCAAGUCUGAUGGAGCAACGCCGCGUGAGUGAAGAAGGUCUUCGGAUCGUAAAGCUCUGUUGUUGGUGAAGAAGGAUAGAGGCAGUAACUGGUCUUUAUUUGACGGUAAUCAACCAGAAAGUCACGGCUAACUACGUGCCAGCAGCCGCGGUAAUACGUAGGUGGCAAGCGUUGUCCGGAUUUAUUGGGCGUAAAGCGAGCGCAGGCGGAAUGAUAAGUCUGAUGUGAAAGCCCACGGCUCAACCGUGGAACUGCAUCGGAAACUGUCAUUCUUGAGUGCAGAAGAGGAGAGUGGAACUCCAUGUGUAGCGGUGGAAUGCGUAGAUAUAUGGAAGAACACCAGUGGCGAAGGCGGCUCUCUGGUCUGCAACUGACGCUGAGGCUCGAAAGCAUGGGUAGCGAACAGGAUUAGAUACCCUGGUAGUCCAUGCCGUAAAACGAUGAGCGCUAGGUGUUGGGGACUUUCCG
rnacentral:rRNA from 1 species